rnacentral:lncRNA from 1 species
GCUGGAAGACCUGGGGUUGCUGAUAAGGCAUGGCUCAGAACGGGCCUUGGACUGAGGCCAGCCCCUAGACGGAUCAGAAGACAAAAAGAGCAACCAGAGAAGGCAGAAAAUGUAUAAUCACUCUCCUUUGAAAGAAGACCCUGAGGCUCAGAGAUGCAGAGACUUGCCUGAGGCUACACCAGCCAUAAAUGGGAGAGCGUUUUCAAUGCAGGAUUGGGGUCCUCAAAGCCCUUGCUGGUUCCACUGCUCCCAGAUCACUACACCGUGA